GAUAAACGCUGGCGGCGUGCAUGAGACAUGCAAGUCGAACGGACGACCUCGGGCUUGCUCGGGGUCGUUAGUGGCGAACGGCUGAGUAACGCGUGGGUGACCUGCCCGGAAGUGGGGAAUAACUGCCCGAAAGGGUGGCUAAUACCGCAUGUGGCCAUACGUUCGUUCGUAUGACCAAAGUCGCAAGGCGCUUCCGGAGGGGCCUGCGUUCGAUUAGCUCGUUGGUGGGGUAACGGCUCACCAAGGCGACGAUCGAUAGGUGGUCUGAGAGGAUGAUCACCCAGACUGGGACUGAGACACGGACCAGACUCCUACGGGAGGCAGCAGUCGGGAAUUUUGCUCAAUGGGCGAAAGCCUGAAGCAGCAACGCCGCGUGAGGGAUGAAGGCCUUCGGGUUGUAAACCUCUUUUCCCAGGGACGAUGAUGACGGUACCUGGGGAAUAAGCCACGGCUAACUACGUGCCAGCAGCCGCCGUAAUAC
rnacentral:rRNA from 1 species